rnacentral:rRNA from 2 species
GUCAAGUCGGAUGUGAAAUCCCCGGGCUCAACCUGGGAACUGCAUUCGAAACUGGCAGGCUAGAGUCUUGUAGAGGGGGGUAGAAUUCCAGGUGUAGCGGUGAAAUGCGUAGAGAUCUGGAGGAAUACCGGUGGCGAAGGCGGCCCCCUGGACAAAGACUGACGCUCAGGUGCGAAAGCGUGGGGAGCAAACAGGAUUAGAUAC